GCCUCCUUAGCUCAGCUGGUAGAGCAAAUGACUCUUAAUCAUUGGGUCGUAGGUUCGAGCCCUACAGGGGGUACCA
rnacentral:tRNA from 12 species